rnacentral:lncRNA from 1 species
UGGGCCUGGUGCCCUGGUAACGGAGUCGCAGCGGGGCCUGAGGGACACCGGCAGGGCUCGGCAGCUCCGUAGGUGGAUGCGGUUGGCCAAGUGCUCCCUGGUGAUGACGUCCGGGUACUGAUUCUGGUGGAAAAGUGUUUCCAGGGCCUGCAGCUGCUCCUCGGUGAAUAUGGUGCGAUGGCGGCGCGUCCGGCGCUGGAUCUGCUGGAAGGCCUGCAGCUCUCUGGGGCUGCCCUGGGGGCUCUUGCAGCCUCUGACCGCCGAGUGGAGCAGUCGCAUGGGCCAAGGGAACCUGGUGUCUGCAAGGAGUGGGACAGUCAGCUCUGUGGGGAUGAAGUACAGCGGCAUCGAGCACUGUCUGCAUCUGCACUCAUUGUGUGGAUGGAGUGCAGCUUGCAUGGGUGAAAGAUGCAUGACCACAGUGCAAGCAGGAGAAAGGCUCAGAGUGUUGCUUGGGAAGAAGCAUAUGGGUGGGGAGCACUAGUGUUGUUUUCUGUGUUCACUUACCAGUGAUGCUGUGGGCAAGCUCCAGAAAACGACUUGGAAACUUACAGCAUAGCUAAGAGUUGUUUUUCCAUCAUAACACGGAGUAUUUCUGAACUUUCAGGAUGCCUUUGAAGCACAAAUGAAGGUUUUCUAUUUUUCUUUUAUUUUCUUUUGCUAAAUGCAUCCAUUUUGCUAGAUGUAGCAAAAAAAACCCCACAAAACCUCCCACCUUUCCCUGAAAGGACAAGUGAGGUUCCCAAGAGCGGGUGGUGAGAAGGAGCACUGCCAGCAUGACCAUGGGGCCCAUGCUCUGUGCAGAGCUCCCACCCUGAAGUGCCACUCUGUGUGCUUUACCACAAAGCAGCAGUGCUUUGGUAACAAGGAGCACCUGCUGAUUUAAAUCCCUGGUGAAGGUGGCAGCUCUCAGAAGCCCUGCUAACAGCAGACUCAGCAGCUCCUCACUAGAGCACUGUCACCCAGCACACAAACUGCAUCGUGCAGAGCCCCGAUCACUCACCCAGCCAACCCGGAGGGUCCUGCAGAGGCCGUGUGCCCGUGUGGGAGCAGCAGCA